rnacentral:rRNA from 1 species
CCUACGGGAGGCAGCAGUAGGGAAUCUUCGGCAAUGGGGGCAACCCUGACCGAGCAACGCCGCGUGAGUGAAGAAGGUUUUCGGAUCGUAAAGCUCUGUUGUUUUCAAGAACGGGUGUGAGAGUGGAAAGUUCACACUGUGACGGUAGCUUACCAGAAAGGGACGGCUAACUACGUGCCAGCAGCCGCGGUAAUACGUAGGUCCCGAGCGUUGUCCGGAUUUAUUGGGCGUAAAGCGAGCGCAGGCGGUUUGAUAAGUCUGAAGUUAAAGGCUGUGGCUCAACCAUAGUUCGCUUUGGAAACUGUCAAACUUGAGUGCAGAAGGGGAGAGUGGAAUUCCAUGUGUAGCGGUGAAAUGCGUAGAUAUAUGGAGGAACACCGGUGGCGAAAGCGGCUCUCUGGUCUGUAACUGACGCUGAGGCUCGAAAGCGUGGGGAGCGAACAGGAUUAGAUACCGUGGUAGUC